CCUACGGGGGGAUGCAGUGAGGAAUAUUGGUCAAUGGCCGGAAGGCUGAACCAGCCAAGCCGCGUGAAGGACGAAGGUGCCAAGCAUUGUAAACUUCUUUUGUCAAGGGACAAAAUCAGGCUCGAGAGCCUGACCGAGGGUACUUGAAGAAAAAGCAUCGGCUAACUCCGUGCCAGAAGCCGCGGUAAUACGGAGGAUGCGAGCGGUAUCAGGAUUUAGUGGGUUUAAAGGGUGCGUAGGCGGGCUGUUAAGGCAGCGGUAAAAGCCCGGGGCUCAACCCCGGCGAGCCGUUGAAACUGGCUGUCUUGAGAUGUCGAGAGGUAUGCGGAAUGCGCAUUGUAGCGGUGAAAUGCUUAGAUAUUGCGCAGAACUCCGAUUGCGAAGGCAGCAUACCGGCGUCGAUCUGACGCUGAGGCACGAAAUCGUGGGUAUCGAACAGGAUUAGAUACCCUAGUAGUC
rnacentral:rRNA from 1 species